rnacentral:lncRNA from 1 species
CUGCGGAGACCAGAGCCCGGCUCCACUGAAGAAACCCGCCGGCUGCUGGGGCAGGGCGGCGAAAGGUCAGUCGGCCGAGAGGAGUCCGUGGAGCCACCGUUUCAUAGCCUCAGGGAAAGGAUCGGGCGUGCUCACGAGCCCUCUAACCCAUGGCUUAAACACCCGCUUCCUAAGCCUGGUUCCUGAAUAUAUCACAUGUGGUGAUAAACAUGAAGAUGUAUGAAAAAUUGUGUUCGUUGAGAGAAAAUGGAAGGCUUUUCAUUCUACUUCCACAUUUUCAUUCCAGCAGCUUUUCUGUUUUGGAAGAUGAGUACUGAAUCUUGCAAUGAAAUUUUUUUAACUUAAACAAGGUUCUUAUGCCUUUGUUUGAAAAACAUGGUUCCCUGUGAAAUUUUACAUGUAGAAGAAAGCUUCACACUACGAGAGCUCUCAGGAUAUAAUUAUUUCAGACAGAUACUGGGAACAUAAGAUGGCUUAUCAAUCUAAGAUGGCCUUCCUGUCCUUCGGAUUGAACUGAAACCAUCCCUGAUUCCAGGGAUAGGUAGAUGAUCCAGGUUUGGACAAUCAAAAUAUUGAACCACCCUGGACCUACAAGUGUUUCUGGGAUGGGAACAUGCAAACGUUGGUCCAAAUUGUUGUUCUAGGCAGCCCAGUACAUUUCUCCAAUGCCUGAUGGAAUGAUAGGGUAUGCAUAAAUGUUCAUGUGGGCUCUGGAGUAUACCAGGAACUGAAGUAAGGUACAUGGACGUCUUGAAUAUUGUAACUGAGAUGGGCAAGCCUACACCUUUGCAAAUAAAGGAGGAUUGGGAAAGAUUAAGAUCCUGUUAAACGUCAGUGUUACUAUUUAGCCUUUGAUAUCUCCAGUAAAGGCAACUUCUUUCUGGACCCAGAAAUAAAGCUUUACAUUAGCAGCUUCCAUAACACCAAUAACAUGAAUGACCAUCUACUGAGCAAUUGCAGUGCACCAGGAUUAUGGCUUAUGAGCACUUUAUGUUUAUUAUCUCACAACUCACUGAGUUAGAUACUCUCCACAAC